UCAAACCGGCGUAAGCCNGGUUGGUUUCUAUCUUUAAAUAAUAAUAAUAUUUUAGUACGAAAGGAUUAAAUAUUAAAAAUAAUUUUUUUUUAUAAAAUAAUAAAAUUUAU
rnacentral:rRNA from 1 species